rnacentral:rRNA from 1 species
UGGCGAACGGGUGAGUAACACGUGGAUGAUCUGCCCUGCACUCUGGGAUAAGCCUGGGAAACUGGGUCUAAUACCGGAUAGGACCAUGCUUUAGUGUGUGUGGUGGAAAGUUUUUUCGGUGUAGGAUGAGCCCGCGGCCUAUCAGCUUGUUGGUGGGGUAAUGGCCUACCAAGGCGGCGACGGGUAGCCGGACUGAGAGGUUGGUCGGCCACAUUGGGACUGAGAUACGGCCCAG